GAGAAGCACAGACUGGAAAUAAAGCUUCAGAAGGCCGAUCUUACCACUACCAGACUCAACCAAGACAUCAAGCGAAUCACCAUAUUGAAGGAGACGUGUCAGUCAGAAUUGUCAAAGCUGAUAACAAAUGUCACUGUGUCUCCUUCUACCCCCGCUCCUCUAAAUGUUACAUCAACCUCCAGGACACCUGUACUAGAGUAGUCCAAAACAAAUAGCUCUUGAUACAAAGAGAAGGAGGAUAUAUGAGUGUCAUAACAAGA